CCCUUAGAUGUCCUGGGCCGCACGCGCGCUACACUGAACGGAUCAGCGCGUUUUCCCUUCCCGAGAGGGACGGGUAACCUGCUGAACCCCGUUCGUGGUAGGGAUCGGGGCUUGCAAUUAUUCCCCGUGAACCAGGAAUGCCCAGUAAGUGCAAGUCAUAAGCUUGCGUUGAUUACGUCCCUGCCCUUUGUACACACCGCCCGUCGCUCCUACCGAUUGAAUGGUCCGGUGAAAAUUUCGGAUACCGGCAUUGCUGGCGGUUCGCCGCCGGCGACGCUGGUAGAAGAUCUUUAAACCUUAUCAUUUAGAGGAAGGAGAAGUCGUAACA
rnacentral:rRNA from 1 species